rnacentral:rRNA from 1 species
AAAAACAUCGCCUCUUGCAAAAUCAAUGAAUAAGAGGUCCCGCCUGCCCUGUGACUAUAAGUUUAACGGCCGCGGUAUUUUGACCGUGCGAAGGUAGCGCAAUCACUUGUCUUUUAAAUGGAGACCUGUAUGAAUGGCAUAACGAGGGCUUAGCUGUCUCCUAUUUCCAGUCAAUGAAAUUGAUCUCCCCGUGCAGAAGCGGGGAUACGUACAUAAGACGAGAAGACCCUAUGGAGCUUUAGACACCAAGGCAGACCAUGUUAAACAUCCCAAAACUAAAGGACCAAACCAAAUGAUCCCUGCCCUAAUGUCUUUGGUUGGGGCGACCGCGGGGAAACAUAAAACCCCCACGUGGAACGAGAGCACAUCCUCUCACAACCAAGAGCUCCCGCUCUAGUAAACAGAAAUUCUGACCAAUCAGAUCCGGCACAAGCCGAUCAACGGACCGAGUUACCCUAGGGAUAACAGCGCAAUCCCCUUUUAGAGGCCAUAUCGACAAGGGGGUUUACGACCUCGAUGUUGGAUCAGGACAUCCUAAUGGUGCAGCCGCUAUUAAGGGUUCGUUUGUUCAACGAUUAAAGUCCUACGUGAUCUGA